UACAGAUGCAGAUUCUCUGACUUCUUACUGCACCAGUGAAGUCAGGAUCUGCAUUUGAAU
rnacentral:pre_miRNA from 1 species